AGAGUUUGAUCAUGGCUCAGAACGAACGCUGGCGGCGCGCCUAAUACAUGCAAGUCGAGCGAGAAGACGUAGCAAUACGUUUGUAAAGCGGCGAACGGGUGAGGAAUACAUGGGUAACCUACCCUCGAGUGGGGAAUAACUAGCCGAAAGGUUAGCUAAUACCGCGUACGCUUCUUGGACUUCGGUUCAGGGAGGAAAGCGAUACCGUGGGUAUCGCGCUCUUGGAUGGGCUCAUGUCCUAUCAGCUUGUUGGUGAGGUAACGGCUCACCAAGGCUUCGACGGGUAGCUGGUCUGAGAGGACGAUCAGCCACACUGGCACUGCGACACGGGCCAGACUCCUACGGGAGGCAGCAGUAAGGAAUAUUGCGCAAUGGGCGAAAGCCUGACGCAGCGACGCCGCGUGGGGGAUGAAGGUCUUCGGAUUGUAAACCCCUUUCGGGAGGGAAGAUGGAAUGGGGUAACCCAUUCGGACGGUACCUCCAGAAGCAGCCACGGCUAACUUCGUGCCAGCAGCCGCGGUAAUACGAAGGUGGCAAGCGUUGUUCGGAUUUACUGGGCGUACAGGGAGCGUAGGCGGUUCGGUAAGCCCUCUGUGAAAUCUCCAGGCUUAACCUGGAACAGUCGGAGGGGACUGCCGGGCUAGAGGACGGGAGAGGAGCGCGGAAUUCCCGGUGUAGCGGUGAAAUGCGUAGAGAUCGGGAGGAAGGCCGGUGGCGAAGGCGGCGCNNUGGAACGUUUCUGACGCUGAGGCUCGAAAGCGUGGGGAGCAAACAGGAUUAGAUACCCNNGUAGUCC
rnacentral:rRNA from 1 species